GCCGCUACCUGUGCGCCUGCCAAUCAAGCUGCUCCUGCGGCUCCCGUAGCUGCUGCUGCUGCUGCUUGAACCUGGCCCCAGGUCCGGCGAGGAUGGAGUUUCACUCUCGUUGCCCAGGCUGGAGUGCAAUAGCACGAUCUCAGCUCACUGCAACCUCUGCCUCCUGGGUUCAAGCGAUUCUCCUGCUUCACCCUCCCAAGUAGCUGGGAUUACAGGUGCGUGCCACCAUGCCUUGCUGAUUUUGUAUAUUUAUUAGAAACAGGCUCUCCCUCUCCCUCUCCCUCCCCACAGUCUCCCUCUCCCCCUCUUUCCACGGUCUCCCUCUGAUGCCGAGCCGAAGCUGGACUGUACUGCUGCCAUCUUGGCUCACUGCAACCUCCCUGCCUCAUUCUCCUGUCUCAGCCUGCCGAGUGCCUGUGAUUGCAGGCGCGCGCCGCCACGCCUGACUGGUUUUCGUAUUUUUUUGGUGGAGACGGGGUUUCGCUGUGUUGGCCGGGCCGGUCUCCAGCUCCUAACCGCUAGUGAUCCACCAGCCUCGGCCUCCCGAGGUGCUGGGAUUGCAGACGGAGUCUCGUUCACUCAGUGCUCAAUGGUGCCCAGGCUGGAGUGCAGUGCCGUGAUCUCGGCUCGCUACAACCUCCACCUCCCAACCGCCUGCCUUGGCCUCCCAAAGUGCCGAGAUUGCAGCCUCUGCCCGGCCGCCACCCCGUCUGGGAAGUGAGGAGCGUCUCUGCCUGGCCACCCAUCGUCUGGGAUGUGAGGAGCCCCUCUGCCUGGCUGCCCAGUCUGGAAAGUGAGGAGCGUCUCUGCCCGGCCGCCAUCCCAUCUGGGAGGUGAGGAGCGUCUCUGCCAGGCCGCCCAUCGUCUGAGAUGUGGGGAGUGCCUCUGCCCGGCCGCGACCCCGUCUGGGAGGUGAGGAGCGUCUCUGCCCGGCCGCCCCGUCUGAGAAGUGAGGAGACCCUCUGCCUGGCGACCGCGCCGUCUGAGAAGUGAGGAGCCCCUCCGCCCGGCAGCCACCCUGUCCGGGAGGGAGGUGGGGGUAAGCCCCCUCCAGGCCAGCCGCCCCGUCCGGGAGGGAGGUGGGGGGCAGCCCUCACGCAGCCGCCACCCCGUCCGGGAGGUGGGCACCUCUGCCCGGCCGCCCCAUCUGGGAGGUGAGGAGCCCCUCUGCCCGGCCGCCACCCCGUCUGGGAGGUGUACCCAACAGCUCAUUGAGAAUGGGCCAUGAUGACGAUGGCGGUUUUGUCAAAUAGAAAAGGGAGAAAUGUGGGGAAAAGAGAGAGAGAUCAGAUUGUUACUGUGCGUGUGUAGAAAGAAGUAGACAUAGGAGACUCCAUUUUGUUCUGUACUAAGAAAAAUUCUUCUGCCUUGGGAUGCUGUUAAUCUAUAACCUUACCCCCAACCCCGUGCUCUCUGAAACAUAUGCUGUGUCCACUCAGGGUUAAAUGGAUUAAGGGCGGUGCAAGAUGUGCUUUGUUAAACAGAUGCUUGAAGGCAGCAUGCUCGUUAAGAGUCAUCACCACUCCCUAAUCUCAAGUACCCAGGGAUACAAACGCUGCGGAAGGCCGCAGGGCCCUCUGCCUAGGAAAACCAGAGACCCUUGUUCACGUUUAUCUGCUGACCUUCCCUCCACUAUUGUCCUAUGACCCUGCCAAAUCCCCCUCUCCGAUAAACACCCAAGAAUGAUCAAUAAAUACUAAAAAAAAAAAAAAAAAAAAAAAAUUUUUGUGCCCUGCUACUGGCCUCAAGUGAUCGUCCUGCCUCGGCCUCCCACAGUGCUCGGAUUUCAGGUGUGAGCCACUGCGCCCAGCCCCAGCUGUGAAUUUGUUUAUAAAAACCCAGAGCAUUGAAAGUUUUAAGAGACGGCCCGGGUAAGUCUUCAGUGCAUCUCCUGCACAUGCUCCACACCUGCGUUACACUAAUCAUGCCACUAUCUCACUUCUCCAACCCUUUGAGCUUGCACUUUUUCCCUCUGCCUACAUCAGUGCUUCUCAAAUGUGGUAAAGGAUCAUUUAAAAAAAAUUUCCAAUCUAGACCAGGCAUGGUGAUGCAUACCUGUAGUCCCAGUUACUUAGAAGGCUGAGGUGGGAGGAUUGCUUGAGUCCAGGAGUUCAAGACCAGCCUGGGCAACACAGCAAGAUCCCAUGUCUUAAAAAAAAAAACCAAUCUACUGUGGACCCAUACUUAUGUAAAACACAAUAAGGCUGGGCGCGGUGGCUCACGCCUGUAAUCCCAGCACUUUGGGAGGUGGAGGCGGGUGGAUCACGAGGUCAGGAGAUGGAGACCAUCCUGGCUAACAUGGCAAAACCCCGUCUCUACUAAAAAAAAAAAAAAAAAUACAAAAAUUUAGCCAGGCGUGGUGUUGGGCGCCUGUAGUCCCAGCUACUUGGGAGGCUGAGGCAGGAGAACGGUGUGAACCCGGGAGGCGGAGCUUGCAGUGAGCUGAGCUCGCGCCACUGCACUCCAGCCUGGGCGACAGAGUGAGACUCUGUCUCAAAAACAAACAAACAAAAAACAAGCAAACAAAAAACACAAUAAACUUAAAUGAUCAGAAAAUAACCACAUGCUUAGAUAUCAGAGCAAAGGCCCAGUCUCUCAAUGCACCCUCU
rnacentral:lncRNA from 1 species